GGAAGUUCUACAGGAAGAUGAAA
rnacentral:snRNA from 1 species